AGCGAACGCUGGCGGCAGGCCUAACACAUGCAAGUCGAACGAACUCUUCGGAGUUAGUGGCGGACGGGUGAGUAACACGUGGGAACGUGCCUUUUGGUUCGGAAUAACUCAGGGAAACUUGUGCUAAUACCGAAUGUGCCCUUCGGGGGAAAGAUUUAUCGCCAUUAGAGCGGCCCGCGUCUGAUUAGCUAGUUGGUGAGGUAACGGCUCACCAAGGCGACGAUCAGUAGCUGGUCUGAGAGGAUGACCAGCCACACUGGGACUGAGACACGGCCCAGACUCCUACGGGAGGCAGCUGUGGGGAAUCUUGCGCAAUGGGCGAAAGCCUGACGCAGCCAUGCCGGGUGAAUGAUGAAGGUCUUAGGAUUGUAAAAUUCUUUCACCGGGGACGAUAAUGACGGUACCCGGAGAAGAAGCCCCGGCUAACUUCGUG
rnacentral:rRNA from 1 species